rnacentral:misc_RNA from 1 species
CUCGUGAGAAAAGCCAAACCAAACCUCCAAGCAAAAAUCUAACAUAUUCUGAAAGCAAUCCAACAGAUUCCUAUUAUGGUAUGUAUUUUGCAGUAUAUAAGGUGUGAAUCCAAUGACUUUUCCGUUUCAAUUGCCACCACCCCAUCACCACAACCACCAUCAUCUCCUUCCCCACCCCACCACCAUCACCAACACCAUCCUCCUUUUUUACUUUUCUUGAUACAACCCUUUUCACAUUUUGUCUCCAAUAAUCACUUAAUAGAGUCCCAUGUAAAUCCAAAUCAGUCUCAUUCUCACUGCAAGUUUAUCUUUCACAUCUUAAUCAGCUAUUCUCUUUCCCCAAAGAAAAAAGUAAAGAAAAGAAAAUCCAAAUCAUUCUCUGCCCUACUGCAGAUUUAAAUCAAAACCCUUUUCUCCUCUCUUGCUAUCUCCAUCAACAUUCAGAUAUCAUUUUCUUUCUCUCUCUCUCUUGACAGAGCACACAGCCGGCCGGGGAUGACGAUGAGAAGAGGCAUUGGUUUGGUUAUACUAGUGUUGGUGGUUUUUGAGAUCCAGACAUGCUUAUCACAGAUUAACAGAGCAAGCUUUCCAAAGGGUUUUGUGUUCGGGACUGCAUCUUCAGCUUUCCAGUAUGAAGGAGCAGUGAAAGAAGAUGGAAGGGGUCCAAGUGUUUGGGACACAUUCUCGCAUUCUUUCGGAAAGGUAAUUGAUUUCAGUAACGCUGAUGUGGCUGUAGAUCAAUACCACCGUUUUGAGGAAGACAUUCAACUCAUGAAGGAUAUGGGCAUGGAUGCCUACAGAUUUUCAAUUUCUUGGUCUAGAAUAUAUCCUAAUGGAACUGGGGCAAUAAAUCAGGCAGGAGUUGAUCAUUAUAACAAGCUCAUCAAUGCUUUGAUUGCAGCAGGAAUUGAGCCAUAUGUGACCAUUUACCAUUGGGACCUUCCUCAAGCCUUGAACGACAGAUACAAUGGAUGGCUCAACCCACAGAUCAUAAAGGACUAUGCAACAUUUGCAGAGACUUGCUUUCAGAAAUUUGGUGAUAGGGUGAAGCAUUGGAUCACAUUCAAUGAGCCUCAUACAUUUACCAUACAAGGGUAUGAUGUAGGUCUUCAGGCUCCAGGACGGUGCUCCAUCCUUCUGCAUUUCCUCUGCAGGGCUGGAAACUCUGCUACUGAACCUUACAUAGUUGCGCACAAUGUCCUUCUUUCUCAUGGAACUGUGGCAGAUAUCUACAAGAGAAAAUACAAGGCAAACCAAGGUGGAUCACUUGGUGUAUCAUUUGAUGUUAUGUGGUUUGAACCAGCAACCAACAGCACAUAUGACAUUGAAGCAACUCAAAGAGCCCAAGAUUUUCAGCUCGGAUGGUUUAUUGAACCUUUGCUGUAUGGGAAUUAUCCAAGUUCAAUGAGAAGUAGAGUUGGAAAACGGCUGCCAACAUUUUCCAAAUCUGAAGCUACUCUUAUUAAAGGGUCCCUGGAUUUUGUGGGAAUUAAUCACUACACUACAUAUUAUGCAAAAAACAAUUCAAAAAGUUUCAUUAAUGAUCUCCUUAAUGACUCCCUAGCAGACUCUGGUGCCAUAACUCUUCCCUUCAGAAACUUGCAGCCUAUUGGAGACAGGGCAAAUUCUAUAUGGUUGUACAUAGUUCCUCAAGGGAUGAGAAGUCUAAUGAAUUACAUCAAGAAAAAGUAUGGAAACAUCCCAAUCUUUAUUACAGAAAAUGGGAUGGAUGACUCAAACACCUAUAUCUCCAUUAAAGAUGUUCUCAAGGAUGAGAAAAGGAUCAAAUACCACAAUGACUAUCUAACAAACUUGUUAGCCUCUAUCAAAGAAGAUGGGUGCAAUGUGAAAGGGUAUUUUGUAUGGUCUUUAUUGGAUAAUUGGGAGUGGGCAGCUGGGUACACUUCAAGAUUUGGUCUCUACUUUGUGGAUUAUAAUGACAAGCUCAAGAGAUACCCUAAGGAUUCUGUUAAAUGGUUCAAAAAUUUCUUGACAGCUAGUUAAAAAUGGAUAAAGUAUGCAAUACAAAUUUGCAAUUGAAUGUUCUAUGCAUGUUUCUUAGGGAACUAUAAUGAAAGUGAAAUAUUGAAUACAUGAUCUCUAUG